rnacentral:rRNA from 1 species
GACGAACGCUGGCGGCGUGCUUAAUACAUGCAAGUCGAACGGAAAGGCCCCUUUCGGGGUACUCGAGUGGCGAACGGGAGAGUAACAGUAGAAUAAGCUUACCUUGACUUCGGGAUAACUAUAGGAAACGGGGGCGAAUACUGGAAAGGAAUCCGUGCUCGAUGGGGGGGGUUGGAAAGGUUCGGCGGUUGUGAACGGGUUCGCGGCUUAUCAGCUGGUUGGUGGGGUAGUGGCUUACCGAGGCCGUGACGGGAAGCCGGCCUGUGAGAGCGACCGGCCGCCUUAGGACUGAGGUGCGGCCCAGACUCCUACGGGUGGCAGCAGUGGGGAAUAUUGCACGAUGGGCGGCGGCCUGAUGCAGCAGCGCCGCGUGCGGGAUGACGGCCUUCGGGUUGUAGACCGCUUUCUACAGGAGCGGAGCUUGUGGUGACGGUACCUACCGAGGAAGCACCGGCUAACUACGUG